GCUAAACGCGAAGAACCUUACCAAGGCUUGACAUAUACCGUUUAUCCCUAGAGAUAGGGAGUCCUUCGGGCGGUAUACAGGUGGUGCAUGGUUGUCGUCAGCUCGUGUCGUGAGAUGUUGGGUUAAGUCCCGCAACGAGCGCAACCCUCGUUCUAUGUUGCCAGCGCGUAAUGGCGGGGACUCAUAGGAGACUGCCGGGGUCAACUCGGAGGAAGGUGGGGAUGACGUCAAAUCAUCAUGCCCCUUAUGUCUUGGGCUUCACGCAUGCUACAAUGGCCGGUACAAAGGGUUGCCAAACCGCGAGGUGGAGCCAAUCCCAAAAAGCCGGCCUCAGUACGGAUAAGAGUCUGCAACUCGACUCUUUGAAGGCGGAAUCGCUAGUAAUCCCUGAUCAGCAUAGCAGGGGG
rnacentral:rRNA from 1 species